UGGAGGGGAUGAUAUUAAUAUUUCACAUGAUUGGGACAGGAAAGGCCUGGCAUUCCCAGGGGAAGAGUCACAGCACCUGUGCUGAACUCACCCAGAUUUUUGGCAGGAAUGAUCUAAUUGCUCAUCAUGAAUGGAACAGAAAACAAUUCUGACACCAAGCAAGAGAAGCCUGGCUCAGGAGGUGCCAUCACUGCAAUCAGAGAAGGUUCCAGGGAACUGGAGAAGGUAACAGAAAUAGGCUGUGUGUUAAAAGAAAUGUGAGGGGAGAGAAGAUCAAUUCCAAAAAUCAAGCCAAAUUAAUUCUUCCUUCUUUUAUUUUGCUGUGUUUCCAUCUUUCCCUUUGCUGUGUUUCCUUUCCAAAGCAAGGAAGGAGCAGGAGUUUAGGAGAAUCUGGUUCAGGUCAGUCUUGCUGGAAAACCAGUUUGGGUUUCCCUGAUCAAUCUGUUUAAUUAACUAAAAAUGCAGAAUUGAAGAAGUUGUUGGAUAUUUUUGCAUUUUUCUGCAGUUGGCUGCAGGAGACUUUUCUCGGACUGUUGCCUGAGGGUUGGGGGUGUCCAGCCUGGAGAAGAGAAAGAUCUGGGGAGAUGUAAUUGAGGCUUUGCAAGACCUAAAAGGAGUCAGAAAGAGCUGGAGAGGGAUCUGGACAAGGAGCUGGAGUGCCAGGACAAGGGGGAAUGGUUUAAACUAAAGCAGGAGAGAUUUAAAUGGGAUACUGGGAAGGAGUUCAUGGCUGGGAUGGAAUUCCCAGAGCAGCUGUGGAUCCCUGGAUCCCUGUCAGUGUCCCAGGCCAGGCUGGAGCAGCUGGGACAGUGGGAGGUGUCCCUGUCAUGGCAGGGGAGGCACUGGGUGGGAUUUACGAUCCUUCCAUCCCAAACCAUUCCACAAUUCCAACCCGAAGAGAACCUGGUUAUGGGGCCAGCAGUGUCUGGGGAUUAAAACACCUUCCCAGCUGUUGAUCAGAACAGAAUUUCAGACAUUUUAUCUCUGGUUUUUCUUGCUCAUCCCUUAGCUGAGAGGUGAUGGGAACAAGCAGCAGGAGCAUCCCCAAGCCCUGGCAGUGGGACAUUUUGGGAGUGGCACUUUUAUAACCAUCACUGGCUUUGUGGUUUAUCCUGAGGCAACAGAACCAACAGUAAAUUGUCCCUUCAGGGCCAGCAUUUAGUGCCAGCUCAGAGAAAUGCAGGAUGGCUGUGGCAGGUGAAUAAAUCCUGCAGGAGGAUCCCAGGGGAACAAUGCCUGCUUGCCAAAUCUGUUUGCAGAGUGCACAAAGCAAGGAGGGAAACAUUGCAACAGCACAAAGGUUUUCUGACAGACCCAGCCCAGGCUGCUGCCUCAGCAAAGCUCUUUGUUGGUGCUUUUCUUCCAGCCCCAAACUGGGAUUGAGCCAGGCACUGCAUCCACUGGGACUGGGAUGCUGUGGCUGUAGGAUAAACCCCCAGUUCUGCUUGU
rnacentral:lncRNA from 1 species